AUGAACGCUGGCGGCGUGCCUCAUCCAUGCCAGUCGAGCGAACAGACGAGGGGCUUGCUCCUCUGACGUUAGCGGCGGACGGGUGAGUAACACGUGGAUAACCUACCUAUAAGACUGGGAUAACUUCGGGAAACCGGAGCUAAUACCGGAUAAUAUAUUGAACCGCAUGGUUCAAUAGUGAAAGACGGUUUUGCUGUCACUUAUAGAUGGAUCCGCGCCGCAUUAGCUAGUUGGUAAGGUAACGGCUUACCAAGGCAACGAUGCGUAGCCGACCUGAGAGGGUGAUCGGCCACACUGGAACUGAGACACGGUCCAGACUCCUACGGGAGGCAGCAGUAGGGAAUCUUCCGCAAUGGGCGAAAGCUUGACGGAGCAACGCCGCGUGAGUGAUGAAGGUCUUCGGAUCGUAAAACUCUGUUAUUAGGGAAGAACAAAUGUGUAAGUAACUAUGCACGUCUUGACGGUACCUAAUCAGAAAGCCACGGCUAACUACGUG
rnacentral:rRNA from 1 species